AAAUAUUAAAGUACUAAACAAAGCUUUUCAAAUUGCCACACGGUCAAGAAACUUCAAUUUAAAGAGUUUGAUUUGCUAUUACUGUUGGAGAUGCUUUAACUUUAAAUUGCAUGUAGUACCGCCCAAGAUACAAGGUUGACUUUAGUUAUGAGUUAAAACCUAACAAAAGUAGCACCCAAAAAAAAACAAACAAAAAAAAGCUUACGAAAAAUAUAUUGUGAAAUUUUUUCUCACACACUUGUUGUGGGUUCUUAUUAUACGGGUAAAACACCCCCCA
rnacentral:lncRNA from 1 species